rnacentral:rRNA from 1 species
UGGGGGAUAUUGCACAAUGGAGGAAACUCUGAUGCAGCAACGCCGCGUGAGGGAAGACGGUUUUCGGAUUGUAAACCUCUGUCCUUGGUGAAGAUAAUGACGGUAGCCAAGGAGGAAGCUCCGGCUAACUACGUGCCAGCAGCCGCGGUAAUACGUAGGGAGCAAGCGUUGUCCGGAUUUACUGGGUGUAAAGGGUGCGUAGGCGGCUUUACAAGUCAGGCGUGAAAUAUAUGGGCUUAACCCAUAGACUGCGUUUGAAACUGUAGAGCUUGAGUGAAGUAGAGGUAGGCGGAAUUCCCGGUGUAGCGGUGAAAUGCGUAGAGAUCGGGAGGAACACCAGUGGCGAAGGCGGCCUACUGGGCUUUAACUGACGCUGAGGCACGAA